GCCGGUAUAGCUCAACUGGUAGAGCAGCGGGUUUAUACUCCGUAGCGCCAGAUAAGCGGCAUGUUGUGGGUUCGAUUCCUACUGCCGGCACCA
rnacentral:tRNA from 1 species